rnacentral:misc_RNA from 1 species
GAUGAAGAACGUAGCGAAAUGCGAUAAGUAAUGUGAAUUGCAGAAUUCAGUGAAUCAUCGAAUCUUUGAACGCACAUUGCGCCCCCUGGUAUUCCGGCGGGCAUGCCUGUUCGAGCGUCAUUUCAACCCUCAAGCCCUGCUUGGUGUUGGGGAUCGGCGUUGCCUCCUCCGUCGUUCGCGGCGGGGUGAGGUCGCCGCCCCCGAAAUGAAUUGGCGGUCUCGUCGCAGCUUUCCUUUGCGUAGUAACAUACCACCUCGCAACCAGGAGCGCGGCGCGGCCACUGCCGUAAAACGCCCAACUUUUUCAAGAGUUGACCUCGAAUCAGGUAGGAAUACCCGCUGAACUUAAGCAUAUCAAAAGCGGAGGA